rnacentral:sRNA from 1 species
GUGGAGAAAGUCUGUGAGAUUCAUUUCCAUGAAAUCAAUAAUAAAAUGGUAGAAUGUAAGAAAGCUCAGCCGAAAGAAGUCAUGUUCCCACCUGGGACAAGAGGCCGGGCCCGGGGACUGCCUUACACCAUGGACGCGUUCAUGCUUGGCAUGGGGAUGCUGGGUGAGUCUGGACAGGACCGCAGGUCACCAUGGACUGGGAGGGCUAUGGAGGCCUCUACUCCCAAUUGGGUCACCUACCAGUGGGGCAAACUGCUUCACCUUUCUAAGCCUCAGUUUCCUUGUCUGUAGAUGAGGAUGAUAAUUCCCCGUUCCAAGACAGAUGUGAUGAUUAAGUGUGGGUGUGUGUGUGUGUGUUUGUAUUUAUAAUCUUGCCCCAUGCCUGGCUUAUAGGAUAUGUUAGACUAUUUUCUCUCUUUUCCAUCUCCUUCCUCAAAAGAAGGAAAAGUCCCCCUCUAUCUGCCUCAGCCCUCUCAUCUGAGUGGGAGUUCUUAAGAUGUAAGGACUCCUGGCUGACUUGACUUGUGUGGGCUAAGGCUACAUUUUCUAAAACUUGGGAGAGGAGGGAAGUGGUAAGGGUGGGCGAUAAUCCUGUCUAUUUAAAUGAUUAACAUUUUUCUCUUGGGAUAUCAAAAUUUGCAUUUAAAUGGAUGUUUUAAAUAGCCUGUUUUACUCUUUAUUUGC